rnacentral:rRNA from 1 species
GACGAACGCUGGCGGCGUGCUUAACACAUGCAAGUCGAACGGAAAGGCCCUGCUUUUGUUGGGUGCUCGAGUGGCGAACGGGUGAGUAACACGUGAGUAACCUGCCCUUGACUUUGGGAUAACUUCAGGAAACUGGGGCUAAUACCGGAUAGGAGCUCCUGCUGCAUGGUGGGGGUUGGAGAGUUUCGGCGGUUGGGGAUGGACUCGCGGCUUAUCAGCUUGUUGGUGGGGUAGUGGCUUACCAAGGCUUUGACGGGUAGCCGGCAUGAGAGGGUGACCGGCCACAUUGGGACUGAGAUACGGCCCAGACUCGUACGGGAGGCAGCAGUGGGGAAUAUUGCACAAUGGGCGGAAGCCUGAUGCAGCAACGCCGCGUGCGGGAUGACGGCCUUCGGGUUGUAAACCGCUUUCGCCUGUGACGAAGCGUGAGUGACGGUAAUGGGUAAAGAAGCAACGGCUAACUACGUG